rnacentral:rRNA from 1 species
UGCGGCAUGCCUUACACAUGCAAGUCGAACGGCAGCACGGGAGCAAUCCUGGUGGCGAGUGGACGAACGGGUGAGUAAUAUAUCGGAACGUGCCCAGUCGUGGGGGAUAACGUAGCGAAAGCUACGCUAAUACCGCAUACGAUCUACGGAUGAAAGCGGGGGACUCGCAAGAGCCUCGCGCGAUUGGAGCGGCCGAUAUCAGAUUAGGUAGUUGGUGGGGUAAAGGCUCACCAAGCCAACGAUCUGUAGCUGGUCUGAGAGGACGACCAGCCACACUGGAACUGAGACACGGUCCAGACUCCUACGGGAGGCAGCAGUGGGGAAUUUUGGACAAUGGGCGCAAGCCUGAUCCAGCAAUGCCGCGUGCAGGAUGAAGGCCUUCGGGUUGUAAACUGCUUUUGUACGGAACGAAACGGUGAGCUCUAAUACAGUUUGCUAAUGACGGUACCGUAAGAAUAAGCACCGGCUAACUACGUG